GGGUUGUGAGGUUAAGCGACUAAGCGUACACGGUGGAUGCCCUGGCAGUCAGAGGCGAUGAAGGACGUGCUAAUCUGCGAAAAGCGUCGGUAAGGUGAUAUGAACCGUUAUAACCGGCGAUGUCCGAAUGGGGAAACCCAGUGCAAUUCGUUGCACUAUCGUUAACUGAAUACAUAGGUUAACGAGGCGAACCGGGGGAACUGAAACAUCUAAGUACCCCGAGGAAAAGAAAUCAACCGAGAUUCCCCCAGUAGCGGCGAGCGAACGGGGAGCAGCCCAGAGUCUGAAUCAGCUUGUGUGUUAGUGGAACGGUCUGGAAAGUCCGACGGUACAGGGUGAUAGUCCCGUACACCAAAAUGCACAGGUUGUGAACUCGAAGAGUAGGGCGGGACACGUGGUAUCCUGUCUGAAUAUGGGGGGACCAUCCUCCAAGGCUAAAUACUCCUGACUGACCGAUAGUGAACCAGUACCGUGAGGGAAAGGCGAAAAGAACCCCGGCGAGGGGAGUGAAAAAGAACCUGAAACCGUGUACGUACAAGCAGUGGGAGCACCUUCGGGUGUGACUGCGUACCUUUUGUAUAAUGGGUCAGCGACUUAUAUUCUGUAGCAAGGUUAACCGUAUAGGGGAGCCGCAGGGAAACCGAGUCUUAACUGGGCGUUAAGUUGCAGGGUAUAGACCCGAAACCCGGUGAUCUAGCCAUGGGCAGGUUGAAGGUUGGGUAACACUAACUGGAGGACCGAACCGACUAAUGUUGAAAAAUUAGCGGAUGACUUGUGGCUGGGGGUGAAAGGCCAAUCAAACCGGGAGAUAGCUGGUUCUCCCCGAAAGCUAUUUAGGUAGCGCCUCGUGAAUUCAUCUUCGGGGGUAGAGCACUGUUUCGGCUAGGGGGUCAUCCCGACUUACCAACCCGAUGCAAACUACGAAUACCGAAGAAUGUUAUCACGGGAGACACACGGCGGGUGCUAACGUCCGUCGUGAAGAGGGAAACAACCCAGACCGCCAGCUAAGGUCCCAAAGUCAUGGUUAAGUGGGAAACGAUGUGGGAAGGCACAGACAGCCAGGAUGUUGGCUUAGAAGCAGCCAUCAUUUAAAGAAAGCGUAAUAGCUCACUGGUCGAGUCGGCCUGCGCGGAAGAUGUAACGGGGCUAAACCAUGCACCGAAGCUGCGGCAGCGACACUAUGUGUUGUUGGGUAGGGGAGCGUUCUGUAAGCCUGCGAAGGUGUGCUGUGAGGCAUGCUGGAGGUAUCAGAAGUGCGAAUGCUGACAUAAGUAACGAUAAAGCGGGUGAAAAGCCCGCUCGCCGGAAGACCAAGGGUUCCUGUCCAACGUUAAUCGGGGCAGGGUGAGUCGACCCCUAAGGCGAGGCCGAAAGGCGUAGUCGAUGGGAAACAGGUUAAUAUUCCUGUACUUGGUGUUACUGCGAAGGGGGGACGGAGAAGGCUAUGUUAGCCGGGCGACGGUUGUCCCGGUUUAAGCAUGUAGGCUGGUUAUCCAGGCAAAUCCGGAUAAUCAAGGCUGAGGUGUGAUGACGAGGCACUACGGUGCUGAAGUAACAAAUGCCCUGCUUCCAGGAAAAGCCUCUAAGCAUCAGGUAACAUCAAAUCGUACCCCAAACCGACACAGGUGGUCAGGUAGAGAAUACCAAGGCGCUUGAGAGAACUCGGGUGAAGGAACUAGGCAAAAUGGUGCCGUAACUUCGGGAGAAGGCACGCUGGUGUGUAGGUGAAGUCCCUGCGGAUGGAGCUGAGACCAGUCGAAGAUACCAGCUGGCUGCAACUGUUUAUUAAAAACACAGCACUGUGCAAACACGAAAGUGGACGUAUACGGUGUGACGCCUGCCCGGUGCCGGAAGGUUAAUUGAUGGGGUUAUCCGUAAGGAGAAGCUCUUGAUCGAAGCCCCGGUAAACGGCGGCCGUAACUAUAACGGUCCUAAGGUAGCGAAAUUCCUUGUCGGGUAAGUUCCGACCUGCACGAAUGGCGUAAUGAUGGCCAGGCUGUCUCCACCCGAGACUCAGUGAAAUUGAACUCGCUGUGAAGAUGCAGUGUACCCGCGGCAAGACGGAAAGACCCCGUGAACCUUUACUAUAGCUUGACACUGAACAUUGAGCCUUGAUGUGUAGGAUAGGUGGGAGGCUUUGAAGCGUGGACGCCAGUCUGCGUGGAGCCAACCUUGAAAUACCACCCUUUAAUGUUUGAUGUUCUAACGUUGGCCCCUGACCGGGGUUGCGGACAGUGUCUGGUGGGUAGUUUGACUGGGGCGGUCUCCUCCCAAAGCGUAACGGAGGAGCACGAAGGUUAGCUAAUCCUGGUCGGACAUCAGGAGGUUAGUGCAAUGGCAUAAGCUAGCUUGACUGCGAGCGUGACGGCGCGAGCAGGUGCGAAAGCAGGUCAUAGUGAUCCGGUGGUUCUGAAUGGAAGGGCCAUCGCUCAACGGAUAAAAGGUACUCCGGGGAUAACAGGCUGAUACCGCCCAAGAGUUCAUAUCGACGGCGGUGUUUGGCACCUCGAUGUCGGCUCAUCACAUCCUGGGGCUGAAGUAGGUCCCAAGGGUAUGGCUGUUCGCCAUUUAAAGUGGUACGCGAGCUGGGUUUAGAACGUCGUGAGACAGUUCGGUCCCUAUCUGCCGUGGGCGCUGGAGAAUUGAGGGGGGCUGCUCCUAGUACGAGAGGACCGGAGUGGACGCAUCACUGGUGUUCGGGUUGUCAUGCCAAUGGCACUGCCCGGUAGCUAAAUGCGGAAGAGAUAAGUGCUGAAAGCAUCUAAGCACGAAACUUGCCCCGAGAUGAGUUCUCCCUGAGACUUUAAGUCUCCUGAAGGAACGUUAAAGACGAUGACGUUGAUAGGCCGGGUGUGUAAGCGCAGCGAUGCGUUGAGCUAACCGGUACUAAUGAACCGUGAGGCUUAACCUUACAACGCCGAAG
rnacentral:rRNA from 1 species